CUCAACCUGGCGUAUAAAACCAUCAUGGCUCUUGCAAAGUUGCUUAAUCACUUCUUGCACAAGGUACCUCUCAUUCCCCCUCUCCAAGCUAAGCCGAACCAAAACCCUAUCUCCUUCAACCGCGGCGCGAAGCCGCGAAACGAGUGCAUCAAUUGUGCCAAGAUCAUUGCUCAGAACAUAAGAACAUUUUGCAGCAGCAUCAAGCUGUUUCAACCUCACUAAUUCUCUUCUCUCAGAUGCACAAACAGGCACAGCGCCAGCCGAUGCCGCAGUCGCCAAGGCGACCACAGCGUGCAGGGUCACUGCCACGGUCGCCACCACCACCCCGACGGCGACGGCGACCAGGCAGAUGGCCGAGCCGGCGGCGGCGCGACGGAAAAAGCGUACCCUAGAUAGGGACUUCGAAACGCGGCGAUCGAGCUGCGUUUUGAGGUUGGAUAAGGCUUCGCGAAGGUUCGAGAAGAUGUGGGAAUCGGGGAUGGAGUUGUUUUGUUUGUCGAAGUGGUGAAAGAGAGGAAUGGCGCGCUUGCAAUCGCUGUGUGUUGGGUGAAGAGGGUCGAUUGUUUCGAAGAGGUCAAGGAGAGGGGCGUGGGCGGCACGCGCGAGGCUGAGACAUUGGUGGAGGUGGAGGCAGAGUUCGGAGGCGGUUUCCGUGUGGUCGAAGAAGGUGGAGAUGAGGCGCGUGGUGGUUGUGGUGUCUGAUAGCGCGUGUUGGACGCGGUCUCGGUCUGGGUUAAGCGUGUGAAGUUGAGAUUGGAUAUUGGAGCGAAUCUCGGCGUAGGAGUUGGUGUGAACGGCGAGGUUGUAUUCGCGAGAAACGCUGGGUGUGUCCUCUGUGAGAUGUUAAUGCAAUCAGAAACGCAGCGUUUUGAUAGAAAGAGUGAUUGUUUUUAUUUUAAAAUAAAAUAAAAUAAAAUAAAAUAAAUGGUUGCGUUUUGUUGAGUUACCUUGAGAGGAGUUUGGCAUUGAGGUGGAUGAUCUGAAGAAGGAUAUGCAUUUCGGCAUUCUAAUUCUGAGAGUUGAUCGUUGCACUCUGUGAGUAGCGAGAAAUUGCCAAAGUGGAGGUGUUUAUAAGCUAACACUGCGUAUUCUUGGGGACUAUACUUCCUGUCGUACCAGAAAAAGCUGCUCCCCAAUGACAACAAUCGCGUUCUCCGAUGCAUCACAUAUCGCCGGCGAUCCCUCUUAUCGCCGCCGGCCAUAACACCACCCCCAUUCUCGCCGCCGGCGCAACCCCCUUCACUCCCCACUCACUGACCCAAACCCAUCACACAAACCAGAAUAUGCUUCCCUUUAUUCCUCUCCCCAAAAAAAUAAAAUAAUAAUUAUUAAUAUUUUCAUUUUCCUUUUUCCAAAUUGAUUCCCCCAUUUAUUCCUCACCACAUUUCGCGUUUCCUUCGCUUCCAACUGGAAUCCGAUCCAUCCCAAACUUACUAAAAUUAAAAUUAAAAAAAAAACCCAAAAAGAAAAAAAGCAGCGUUACCAUAAUGGGGGCGAACCGGAGAAGAGAGAACCGUGGGGAACCGGUGACGAUGGAUCACGUGUUGUUGGCGUCACAAGAGAGCAAGGAAGAGAGGGAAACGAGGAUUCGUAGUCUUUUUGGUUUCUUUGAUAAGGAAAGUUGCGGUUACUUGGAUUACGCUUUAAUUGAGGCUGGGCUUUCGGCGCUGCAAAUACCCUCCGAGUAUAAGUACGCCAAGGACUUGUUCAACGCUUGCGAUGCGAACAAGGAUGGGAAAGUUGAUUAUGAAGAGUUCAAGAGGUACAUGGACGAUAAGGAACUCGAGUUGUAUCGAAUUUUUCAAGCCAUUGAUGUUGAGCAUAGUGGGAGUAUUUUGCCUGAAGAGCUUUGGGAAGCGCUUGUCAGAGCAGGGAUUCAGAUUGAUGAUGAGGAACUUGCCCGUUUUGUUGAGCGUGUUGAUAAGGAUAAUAAUGGGGUUAUAACAUUUGGGGAAUGGAGGGAUUUUCUGCUGCUUUACCCUCAUGAGGCGACUAUUGAGAACAUUUACCAUUACCUGGAGCGGGUAUGCCUGGUGGAUAUUGGGGAACAGACUGUUAUUCCAGCAGGCAUUAGUAAGCACAUCCAUGCAAGUAGCUAUCUGAUUGCAGGAGGGGUAGCAGGUGCUGCAUCCCGAACAACAACUGCACCCCUUGAUCGUUUAAAGGUUGUAUUGCAGGUCCAAACAGCACGAGCUCAUAUAAUGCCUGCAAUAAAAGAUAUAUGGAAAGAAGGUGGCUUGCUAGGAUUUUAUCGAGGCAAUGGCUUAAAUGUUCUUAAGGUGGCCCCUGAGAGUGCUAUUAGAUUUUACACCUAUGAGAAGUUGAAGACCUUCAUUAUGAAUGCUAAAGGAGAAGAGUCAAAGGCUGAUAUUGGAACUAUGGGACGGCUGCUAGCUGGUGGUAUAGCUGGUGCUGUAGCUCAAACUGCAAUAUAUCCUCUGGAUCUUGUUAAAACACGGAUACAAACUUAUGCUUGUAAAGGUGGAAGUGUUCCCAGUCUUGGAACCCUCUCAAAAGAUAUCUUGGUUCAGGAAGGACCCCGUGCAUUUUAUAAGGGCUUGAUUCCUUCUGUUCUGGGGAUUAUACCAUAUGCUGGCAUAGAUCUUGCUGCAUAUGAAACAUUGAAAGAUAUGUCAAAGAAAUAUAUUCUUCAUGAUGAAGGUAAUAUACUUCUUUGUGUAUCAUGUUCUGUACCACAUAUGCUAUAGCUGUGUGUUGAAAUUCUGAGAUUUUCUGUAGAACCUGGUCCUCUUGUACAAUUAGGAUGUGGGACAGUGUCAGGUGCCCUUGGAGCAACCUGUGUUUACCCUUUGCAGGUUGUGAGAACGAGAAUGCAGGCUCAACGUGCUUAUAUGGGAAUGACCGAUAUAUUCAGGAGAACCUUUGAACAUGAAGGGUUUAGGGGUUUCUACAAAGGACUAUUUCCUAACCUGCUCAAAGUUGUUCCAUCUGCUAGUAUCACUUAUUUGGUAUAUGAGAGUAUGAAAAAGGGAUUGGAGUUGGAGUGAUUAACUUUGCUGCCUCAUUUGAUAAUUUGUCUAACUGACAUGGCUGACCGUUUGCAACUACAGGAGUGGUUCUGCAAUGAGACAUUAAUGACAAGAAUAAAGUCCCCAUUUGAUUUUAUGACAAUUGUUUACGAUCACUAUUAAAUGACACCACUUUUAUCAAAAUUCUUGGAGGAUGAAAUUGGUUUGUCCUGCUUGCUGCUUCAUUAAACUCUGAAGCUCCAUAUCUAUCAAGAAUAGAUUUUGUUGUAUGCUGAAGUGUACACAAAACCCAGUUAGGAUCCGAUUUUGUACUAUGUAAUGGCUCAGAUUGCUAAUCUUAUUCUCAAUUUUUU